rnacentral:rRNA from 1 species
AACGAACGCUGGCGGCAGGCCUUACACAUGCAAGUCGAACGUGAAAGUCCUUCGGGAUGAGUAAAGUGGCGCACGGGUGAGUAACGCGUGGGAACGUACCCUUCAGUACGGGAUAACAGCGGGAAACUGCUGCUAAUACCGUAUAUUCUCGAGAGAGGAAAGAUUUAUCGCUGAAGGAUCGGCCCGCGUCAGAUUAGCUAGUUGGUGGGGUAAUGGCCUACCAAGGCUACGAUCUGUAGCUGGUCUGAGAGGAUGAUCAGCCACACUGGAACUGAGACACGGUCCAGACUCCUACGGGAGGCAGCAGUGGGGAAUAUUGGACAAUGGGCGAAAGCCUGAUCCAGCCAUGCCGCGUGAAUGAUGAAGGCCUUAGGAUUGUAAAGUUCUUUUGACGGGGAAGAUAAUGACGGUACCCGUAGAAUAAGCUCCGGCUAACUUCGUGCCAGCAGCCGCAGUAA